GCCCAGGGGUUCCCAUUCGGUGAUCAGGACUGAGCAGAGACAGCUCACUAUGAAGUUUGGCCUGAGCUGGGUUUUUCUGUUUGCAAGUUUGAAAGGUGUCCAGGCUGAGGUGCAGCUGGUGGAGUCUGGGGGAGGCUUGGUGCAGCCUUCAGGGUCCCUGAAACUCUCCUGUGUGGCCUCAGGAUUCACCUUCAGUAGCUAUGGCAUGCACUGGAUUCGCCAGGCUCCAGGGAAGGGGCUGGAGUGGAUCUCAGCCAUCAGUAGUGCUGGUAGUAACACAUACUACUCAGACUCUGUGAAGGGCCGAUUCACCAUCUCUAGAAACAAUGGCAAGAACACACUGUAUCUGCAAAUGAACAACCUGCAAACUGAGGACACAGCCCUGUAUUAUUGUGCAAGAGACACACUGAGGGGACAUCAAUGUGAGCUCAGACAAAAACCUCUCUGCAGGGGCCCAUGAGCCCACCAGGGAUUGCCGUGACCCUUAGAGGACCAGGCAGGGCCUCAGGUGCAGGUGCAGAGAAGGAAGCA